UGGUUUAUUGUGCCUAAACUGAAGUGUGACUCUGGGGUGAACAAAGGCCAAAAUUACAAACAAAGCAAGCUUAAACAGUUGGGGAGGUGCUACCUAAACCCUAUGUGAUAAAAAAAAAAAAAAACUAAAUCAAACAAAAUGCAAAUGCUACACCUAGCUCUCUAACUGGAUAAACAGGAGAAAACAAGAAAUAACAAGGCAGCUCCCCCCUUCUGCUUCAGUGACUAUUUACACAUGAAUCUAACUGUACAUUAUAUACAAAUGGAGACAUUCUUCAGAAAACACACACAAAAUGUCAAAGGAUUUGGAGGCCAAGGAUGGGUCUGCUGCUGCUGUCAGUGGCUGCCACAGGACAACUGCUGGUGAGGGAUUUUCAAAGCAAUCACAAGAUCAGGGGACCAAUCAGCAGCCGCCAGCUCUCCAAUGAGGAAGGACCUGUGGACUCCUAAAGACACAGACAGAAACAAGAGACAACCCCUAGGACUCCAGUCUCGGCCAGGGCCGUAACAAACCUAAAAGGGUUGGCAUAGUAAAAAAAAACAAAAAAACAAUUGCCAUGUCUUUUCCUACAAUUCUCAGAAUAAUUUAUAGACAGAGUUGGGAAGAUUACUUUUAAAAUGUAUUCCACUACAGAAUACAUGCCCCAAAAUGUAUUUUGUAAUGUAUUCCAUUACGUUACUCAAUGAGAGUAAUGUAUUAUUGUCAUGGUCUGGGCGAGCCUAAGUAACUUUCCUCAGCAUCAGCUCUCCUCCUCUGGGUGGAGCCCUUCCUGCCCCUCCCCGUUCCUCAGCUGCAGGCAAUUAUUCUGGCAGUAUUUAGGAGCAGCGCACACUAUGAGUCUUCGCCAGAUCGUCUGCUAACCUCAUCGGUACCUGGACUCAUCAUUCCAAAACCUGCCAUAGCUUCGUUCCUGGAUUCCGGUCAGCUGCUGCUUAAUCCUUUUCAGACAAACUGCCACUCACACCUGCCUGCCUCCCUGCAUACCUGUAUUGGACUCAGCACUCGCCUGGACCUCACCUCGCCUCCACCUUCAGCUAAUCCCCGCCUGCGAACACUGCCCUGGUCUGCCACAGCUUCCACCAGCCCCACUCCAGUUUCAGCAGUUUAGUGACCUGACUGUUCCAUGCUCGCCCUAGCCCCGCACCUCACAGACACCACGCUUUUGCACUAAGUUUAAUCUUGUUUUCUGUCUUAAAUAUUUAUGUUAGGAACACGUGUAAAUAAAAGUUUUUGUUUUCGCAAAUCACUUCGAGCUUCCGGUCUUUGGUUCUGCGCCUGAGUCCAUUCCACGCCACGGGCCUCUGAGCUAUGACAAUUAUGAAUACUUUGGAUUACUUAAUAUAUUAUCAUGCUUUUUGCAACUACAUUGAUGAACUAUUGCUGUGUGAUUUAUUACUAUUACUGAAGGCUACU